AUUCUGCUUAUCUGGAUGUAGC
rnacentral:miRNA from 1 species